UGUCUUUGCCCUGUUUGCGUCUCAGCUCAGUGAUCAGGUCCUGCUGCUGACGCUUGCCCUUGUGAGAUGGUGACUGUUGGAAAAGAAAAUGGAGUCAUCUUCGGCCAAGAACUACACUGUCAAAAUGUUAAAGCAUUCCACCCUAUAGACCUAUAGGCCUACUAUUGAAACUACUGCAUAAUGAGUAUCUAGCAGCUUUACAGAAUCCUGUAAAAGUACAAAGAAAGAGUUGGUGACAGGAAGGUAUUCUUGUCCACACAGAACCAUUAGAACAGCGCUGUCCAUCUAAGCAUGGCACUGCUCUGAGGUUGAUGUUGGGAACCAAACGCACCUGCUGGUCCUCUUGCUCCUCCAUCAUGGCCUCUUGUUCUAGAAGUUUCUCCAUCAUCAUCUGCUCUUGCUUCUUCCUCUGCUCGUUCUCCUCAUCCGCUUGCUGUGGGACACAAAAAACAGGUGGAAAUGUAUGCAAGAGUGGCUGGGCUGAGUGUGUGACAUUGUGUUUGCUUACCCGGUAAGA